rnacentral:tRNA from 1 species
GGGGAUAUAGCUCAGCUGGUAGAGUGCUUGCCUCACAUGCACGAGGUCCUGGGUUUGAUCCCCAGCACCA